GUGAAUUCUGGUUGUCAAGUGUUGUGUUGUUUAUGAGGGAUUAUAUUUGGUAGAUUCUGAAUUAAAAAUGAAUGAUUGUGUACAAGGUUGAACAAAGGUGUUGCAGCACUUCUAAAGCAACGAUGGCCAUCCAUUGUAAUGACCCUUUGCCUUGUACAUCGCCUUGAAUUGUCCUUCAAAGAUGCAGUGAAAAAGGCGUCCCCCGGUCUUUAUGAAAAGACUACAGCACUUCUUCUUGGGUUGUUUUAUCUUUUAAGAAAGAGCCCAAAAGAGAAAAAAGGUCUGCUUCACACGUUCGAAGCCCUUGGUGAUGGGAACACCAGAGUUUUUGUGCUUCAAUUUACUUAGAUACAGUGUACGGUGAGAAAGAGAUUGCAGUGCUGUUCAAUCACUUCAGGCCAGUGGCGUUUCCUGAUGUUCUCGUUACUCUGGAAGAUGUCACUGAUGAGUGGUCAACAUUACGCACAUUGGUCUACAAAAGGUAUCCUGACUUGACCAUCGUUAACUGGACACAGGUGAUGAUUGACAUGGCAGCCCAAAACCAGAACAUUUUUCAACUGAUACAAAUUGUUCUGGCUCUACCACCAACAUCGGUCAAUUGCGAGACAGCUUUCAGUGCAAUGAAACUUCUCAAAAUAAACGGAGGGGACGGCUUGAUAAUGCACGCCUCAAUGAUUUGAUGUCGAUUAAGAUAAUGUCCCCAAGAAUUGAAGAUUUUGACCCGGAACCUGCCAUUGCUGACUGACUGAUGUCCGCACCAUCUGGGCAAAAGCGUAGAAUCCGCAAAGAACCAGAUGUGACAUCUGGAAGCAGUAGCAGUACAUCUGCAAUAGUUGUUGAAGAUUCUGACGACACAGAAGCCGACACAGAAGUGAGGGCUUGUCCUUCUACUAGUGCACAGGGCAUAGCUGAGAUGAUGGACAUAGAUGACAGUGGUUCCGACUCUGAAGAUGAUAACCUUGAGAUGUCUGAGGACCUUGUGUCAAAUUUGUGUGAUAUUAACCAUGAAUAAAAACAAAACCAAGUUUUCUUUUGAAAAUAUGUAUUGUUCAAUGUCACUUUUUUACAAAAAUAGUUUCAAAUGCUACAGAAUAGUAACUUUUUUCGGGCUAGUAAAACUUGAUUCGGGCUAGUGACAUUUCCAAGCUGGUAGCCCGGUUCUGUUAUUCAAAACAUUGUUUUGCAGUAACUCAUGAUGUAGAAUGAUUACAACAAAGACUGACAGAAUGAGUUCAUACGCAUAAAAAUGUUUUGUAUAAACAUGUAAUAGUCAUUUUUUAAUGUGAAAUUCUGUUCAAAUACACCCAAAUACAUUACUCCUGUGCAUUUUUAUAAUUAAUGUGAUAGUUGUUACAUUUAAAAAAAGGACUGACCAAUAAUCUGUGUUAUUGAUGAAUCAAACAUGUUGAUUUAUUUUAUUUUUUUCUUAUCGCUUUGAAUCUGUUAUCAGCUUGUUUUAAAAGUUGCUGGAAUUAACUAGUUUACCUAUUAACUUGUAUUUUGAACCAUAAUGCAUAUUUCUGGCACAUAUGGCUUACCUCCCUUCAAGGAUGUACACAUUAGUGUGCUUUCAACUGCUAGAACUUUUAUUCUAUAAGAUUUUUGUAACUGUAUAAAUUGUUUAUUUGAUCACUUUGGUCACUUUUUCAUGCAACAGUGUUGUGGCCCCGCAUUUUGCUUGUUACCCAAUUAUGAUACCCUGUUACUGACUGUUGUCUAUGUAUUUUUGUUAUGUAUUUCAAUGCAGAAACAUUGAAUGCCUUUACCGAUAAAAAUCAAAAUCUAAAUA